GAUGAACGCUGGCGGCGUGCCUAAUACAUGCAAGUCGAGCGCACGGGCGAGGAUCUUGCUUUUCUGAUGUUAGCGGCGGGCGGGUGUGUCACGCGUGGAUCACCUACCUAUCAGACUGGUAUCGCUUCGGAAAACCGGAGCUAAUACCGGAUAAUCUUUUGAACGCCAUGGUUCUAGAGUGAAAGACGGUCUUGCUGUCGCUUAUAGAUGCGUCCGCGCUGCAUUUGCUAGUUGGUAUGGUAACGGGUUACCAAGGCAACGAUGCAUAGACGACCUGAGAGGCUGAGCGGCCACACGGGAACUGAGAGACGGUCCAGACGCCUAGGGGAGGAAGCGGGAGGGAAGCUUCCGAAAUGGGCGAAUGCGUGACGGAGCAACGCCGCGUGAGUGAUGAAGGGCUUCGGAUCUUAAAACUCUGUUAUUAGGGAAGAACAUAUGUGGAAGUAACUGUGCACAUCGUGACGGUACCUAAUCAGAAAGCCACGGCUAACUACGUG
rnacentral:rRNA from 1 species